AUGAACGCUGGCGGCGUGCUUAACACAUGCAAGUCGAGCGAAGCACUUACCAUUGACUCUUCGGAAGAUUUGGUAAAUGGCUGAGCGGCGGACGGGUGAGUAACGCGUGGGCAACCUGCCUCAUACAGGGGAAUAACAGUUAGAAAUGGCUGCUAAUGCCGCAUAAGCGCACAGUACCGCAUGGUACGGUGUGAAAAACCGAGGUGGUAUGAGAUGGACCCGCGUCUGAUUAGGUAGUUGGUGGGGUAAUGGCCUACCAAGCCGACGAUCAGUAGCCGGCCUGAGAGGGUGAACGGCCACAUUGGGACUGAGACACGGCCCAGACUCCUACGGGAGGCAGCAGUGGGGAAUAUUGCACAAUGGGGGAAACCCUGAUGCAGCGACGCCGCGUGAAGGAAGAAGUAUCUCGGUAUGUAAACUUCUAUCAGCAGGGAAGAA
rnacentral:rRNA from 1 species